rnacentral:tRNA from 1 species
GGGGAGUUUCCCGAGCGGUCAAAGGGGGCAGACUGUAAAUCUGUUGGCUCAGCCUUCCAAGGUUCGAAUCCUUGACUCCCCA